rnacentral:rRNA from 1 species
GACGUAGGGCGCAAGCGUUUGUCCGGAUUUAUUGGGCGUAAAGAGCUCGUAGGCGGCCUGUCGCGUCGACCGUGAAAACCCGCAGCUCAACUGCGGGCUUGCGGUCGAUACGGGCAGGCUCGAGUUCGGUAGGGGAGACUGGAAUUCCUGGUGUAGCGGUGAAAUGCGCAGAUAUCAGGAGGAACACCGGUGGCGAAGGCGGGUCACUGGCCCGGUACUGACGCUGAGGCACGAAAGCGUGGGGAGCAAACAGG